GGCGCGGGCUCCUCCUGCGCCUGUCCGCGG
rnacentral:piRNA from 1 species